AUAUAUGUUACUCAACGCAUCACACGGAUGCCUCGACUCUCUAUUCCGACGAAGGACGUGGCCAGCUGCGAUAAGCUUCGGUCAGCCGCUAGGCAGGCGCUACCAGCCGAAGAUUUCCGAAUGGGGUAACCCCAUGGGUGGAAUGACCCAUGACCCCGGUUUUACCGGGGAGGUAUACUCUGCGAACUGAAACAUCUAAGUAGCGGGGAAAAAGAAAUCAAAUCCGAGAUUGCCCUAGUAGUGGCGAGCGAACAGGCAAAAGCCCAAACUGCGCCUCGCUUUGCGAGGCGAGCUUGUGGCUAUUGGCUAUUGGCAAUUGGCACGGGGAUUUUCCUUGUCGCUAACAGCCAAAAGCUAAUAGCUUAUAGCUCGCACCGCGAAGCGGGGCGUAGGGUUGUAGGACCUUCAUUAACCGAUUGCACAAACGUAGGCAAACGCCCUGGAACGGGCGGCCAUAGACGGUGAUAGCCCGGUAGCCGAAACGUGAGUGCACGGUGGAGGAUUCCUGAGUAAGGUCGGACACGUGAAAUCCGGCCCGAAUCCGGGUGGACCACCAUCCAAGGCUAAACAGGUAGAGAGAUCAAUAGCGGAUAGUACCGUGAGGGAAAGGUGAAAAGCACCCCGAAAGGGGGAUGAAAUAGUUUCUGAAAUGUGAUGCGAACAACGAGUCGGAGCCUGGCGCCACUUGUGGUAUCAGGAACGGUUGAUGAUGUUUUUCUUGUCUCUGAGUAGCGAUGAGCUGUGAGCUUUGAGCGAUGAGUAACGAAUAACUCAAAGCUCAUAACUCAAAGCUCAAAGCUUCUCUGGUUCAAAGAUACCUACAUCAAUUGUUCUCGAUACUAGAAGCGGCGCUGGGUGACGGCAUUCCUUUUGCCUAAUGAGCCAACGACUUUGUUCCCAGUGGCGCGGCUAAGGCAGUUUCAGCCGAAGCCAUAGCGAAAGCGAGUCCGAACAGGGCGUAUGCUCAGUUUCAUCGCUGUCUUCGAAAAAAUAUUUAUGCCUUUGGCAAUUGUUAAAUUGUUAUAUUGCUAAAUUGUUCGCAAGCGAAACGCGAGUUUCUGCUUAUCAACAAUUUAACAAUUUAACAAUUUAGCAAUCGUCUGGGUCAUUGCGACAUCAACUUUCGGAGGCAGGGAUGAAGCUGAGCAUUAGUCGCUGGGACAAGACCCGAAACCGGGUGAGCUACCCAUGAGCAGGAUGAAGUCCGCCGAAAGGCGGAUGGAGGUCCGAACCAUAAUGUAUCGCAAGACAUUGGGAUGACUUGUGGGUUGGAGUGAAAAGCUUAUCGAACCCGGAGAUAGCUGGUUCUCCUCGAAAUGUUUUUUGGAACAGCCUUAUGAUAUACAGCAGGGGGUAGAGCUACUGUUUCGACGAGGGGGUGUUUUACGCCUACCGAGUCCUGACAAACUCCGAAUACCUGCUCUUAGAAUCAUAGGAGUGAGACGGUGACAGCGAAGUGCCAUCGUCGAGAGGGCAACAGCCCAGAUCGUUUGCUAAGGUCCCUAAUACCGGUUAAGUAUAUCGAAGGAAGUGUCAUCGCAUUGACAACCAGGAGGUUUGCUUAGAAGCAGCCAUCCUUUAAAGAAAGCGUAACAGCUCACUGGUCGAUUGCGACGAUGCGCCGAAAAUUUACGGGAUUAAACCGGUAACCGACGCAGCGAGUGCGGGAUGCCACUUUUGGUAUCAGGAACGGUUGAUGAUGUUUUUCUUGUCUCUGAGUAGCGAUGAGCUUUGAGCUCUGAGCGAUGAGAAACUUUUCUCACAGCUCAUGUCUCACAGCUCAAAGCUUCUCCGAUUCAAGAAGAACAGUAUCAAUCGUUCUCGAUUCCAGAAGCGGCAUCCUGCGCAGUAGAGGAGCGUUCUAUUCAGCAGUGAAGCUCGGCUGUAAGGCCGGGUGGAGCGGAUAGAAGUGAGACUGUUGGCAUGAGUAACCACAAGGCAGGUGAAAACCCUGCCCGCCGAAUUCCCAAGGUUUCCCACGCAACGUCGAUCGGCGUGGGGUUAGUCGAUCCUAAGGCGAGGCCGAAAGGCGUAGCCGAUGGACAGCAGGUCAAUAUUCCUGCACCUCGUACGAACCGACCAGGGGAGAAGGUUGAUAGUCUGGCUGGCCUCUAGCCCCGGUUUACCGGGGUCAUGUCGGUCGGAAAGGAUUCCUUCAACCCAAUAGCGGCUUGACGGAGACGGAACACCAGAGCGUCUGCAUUGACUGGACGUGUAAAGCGCGAAGCGUUGAGAGCCGGAGGCAAAUCCCCGGUUUGAGCCAAGCGCCGACCAAUCACCCCCGCUCUGCGGGGCUGAGUCUGGCUGUUUCGGCUUCCAAGAAAACCGUCGCUACUAGGAACGUAUGAGACCGUACCGCAAACCAACACUGGUGGGAUGGUCGAGUAGACCCAGGCGAUCGGGACAACUUGCGUUAAGGAACUCUGCAAAAUAGCGUCCGUAACUUCGGGAUAAGGACUGCCCUGCUCCUGACUUUGGUUCCAAGAAAGUUUGGUGUCGUAUUUCAAGAUUUGAGAAGCGAUGAGCUUUGAGCGAUGAGAAUGUUUCUCAUAGCUCAUGACUCACAGCUCAAAGCUUCUCUGAUCCAAGAAUUACAGAUAUCAAUCGUUCUCGGUGCUAAAGCCAGGAGCGGGGCCGCAGCUAAAGAGUCCCUGCGACUGUUUACCAAAAACACAGGUCCCUGCGAAGCCGUAAGGCAAUGUAUAGGGGCUGAUGCCUGGCCAGUGCUAGAAGGUCACGUGAGGGGGUGUAUGCCUCCGAUCUAAGCCCUAGCGAACGCCGGCCGUAACUAUAAAACGGACCACGUUGUAGUUACGUAAAAAAAUCUGACUAUAUGCUGGAAACUCUGUUGUAUCCGGGAAUACUCUGGUGUACGAUCGUAUACAUGAGUGAUAAUUUCUCCGGUGCAGACAAUCAGCAGGAAAGUCUCCAUACGACAUUUUCGCUUCAGGAAUUUGGCUAUUACUUGGCUGGAUUCACUGAUGGCGAAGGAAGUUUUAAUAUUUCUUUCCGAAAAAGAAAAGAUUACAAAUUUCCCUGGAAAGUGUCGGCAUGCUUCAAUAUUUCUCAGAAAGAAGAGCGAAUUCUUCGUUUUGUUCAAAAGACAUUAGGAUGCGGAACACUUCGUUCCCGUCCGGAUGGGAUUUGGUAUUACGAAGCCAACACACUCAAUGAUAUUCGCAAUUAUGUCAUUCCUUUCUUUCAUCGAUUCAAAUUUAUCUCCCAGAAAAAGCAGCGUGAUUUUAAAAUCUUUUGCACGAUUGUUGAUUUGCUGUCACGUGGCGUUCAUCUGACAAAAAAAGGUGUUAUUAAAAUUCUGGACUUGAGAAGAAUCAUGAACGAUGGGGGUAAACGGAAAUAUUCUGAGCAAGACAUUUUGAAUGCAUAUGGAGAAUCCUCAGAGACUAUACGUCGGACAUUCCGAAAGGGAUGAAGAUAUAGUCCGAUCUCAUGGGCGACCAUGAGCAUCAAGCUCUUUACCUUUAGAGUUUGAGACCUCGCAGCAGCGGGGGAACAUUUGAACGGUCCUAAGGUAGCGAAAUUCCUUGUCGGGUGGUCGAUAUGAGCACGUAAAGCCGCUUCGCGGCCACGUGCCACAGCUUGCCCGAAUGUGUCGCAAGACACAGCACUGAGGAAUAGGCUGAUGGCAAAUGGCUGAUAGCUGAUAGCUACAAGCCACAAGCCAAAAAGCCACAAGCUAAUGUUUUUGGUCGGUCCUCUGUCAGACAGACAGAGUGCUCCGGGAGUAAUCCGCGGAGCGGACUUGAUUAGUUUUUCCACUUAAGCAGCGGCCUUUCAGGCCGCGGUGAUGGAAACAAAGCAGAGUUUAUUACGAAAUAAAUUAGAGAAACCAUUGUGAUACAUACGCAGCGCGGGAUUGCAUCCCGCAGACUGUGAAUCAGUGAAAAACGUCGCUAUAUGCUGGAACAUCCGAGAAUGGAGCAGUACGGAAUAAUUGACAAUUUAUAAUUAUUUCGUGAUAAUCUGUCUCCUGCGGACAAUCAGCAGGAAACUAUUCCCCACAAAUAUAUGAGUAAAGCUCACGGUGAAAAUCUUCCGGAAGGUGAUAAACCUGUUGAUGACACCAAACCAGAAUUUGAUCCUCUGCAGUUUCCUGAAACCUGCAUGGGUCGUUUCGAAAGAAUGGUACAUGAUCCAGAAUUCCAUUCGAUCGAGACUGAGCUUAGAGCUCAGAUUGAUGCGGAAAUGCGCAGAACGGGAAGAUAUAGAUGUAUGCCGCAUUUCUAAGUCAGAGAUAAUAGGUUCCUCAGAGACUACACGCGACGCUCCGCACGCAUAAGCGAUGCGGAGAUGAUAUAGUCCGAUCCCUGUGGCGACACAGGGUGCGCGAAAUUGCAGCGCAAAUAAAAAACACGCGUCCGAUCAAGCUUUGAGCGAUGAGCUUUGAGCUUUGAGUCGGCAGGCGUUAGUGCGCCCGAGUUUGAACUUGGGUUCUGGCAUCGCCAACCAGAGGAAUAUCGCAGCAAAGUUCUCACAGCUCACAGCUCAUAGCUCAUAGCUAACAGCUGCGCGCUCCGCGCGCAUGAAGUUCCGACCCGCACGAAUGGUAUCACGGUGGGGGCACUGUCUCGACGCAAGGCCCGGUGAAAUUGCAGACCCGGUAAAAAUGCCGGGUGAAUCACGGUAGGACGAAAAGACCCUAUGAAGCUUUACUGUAGGCUGGCAUUGUGGCCUUGGAUCGCGCGCGCAGGAUAGGUGGGACCCUUUGAAGCCCCGACUUUGGUCGGGGUGGAGGGGACAGUGAGAUACCACCCUCGUGUUCCGAUGUCACUCACGUGUGGCUUUAGAAGUGUUUGGUUUUGAGGCAAGUUAUCAGAGAAUGGAAAGUAAGGAACGUAAGGAAGGUAAUGGAGGUAAGGAAGGUGACAUCACCUCCCUUACGUUCCUGACCUUCAAUACCUUCCUUACCCUAUAGACUCUUAACAACUUACAAAAAAACCCGAGCUUUUCUACAGCCACACGGACAUUGCUUGCUGGGCAGUUUAACUGGGGCGGUUGCCUCCUAAAAAGUAACGGAGGCGCGCAAUGGUCCACUAGCGCCGGAUGGAAAUCGGCGUCGUCGUGUAAUCGCACAAGUGGGCCUGACUGUGAGACGGACAUGUCGAUCAGAAGCGAAAGCUGGUGAUAGUGAUCCGGCAACCGGGCAUAUUUAUUUAUGCCCUUACCACGUGGGUGGGUUGUCGCUCAACGGAUAAAAGUUACUCUAGGGAUAACAGGCUGAUCGGUUCCAAGCGCCCAUAGCGACGAACCGGUUUGGCACCUCGAUGUCGGCUCAUCGCAUCCUGGGGCUGGAGAAGGUCCCAAGGGUUUGGCUGUUCGCCAAUUAAAGCGGUACGCGAGCUGGGUUCAGAACGUCGUGAGACAGUUUGGCCUCUAUCCUCCGUGAUCGUUUAGACAAUUGAGGAAACUUGCUCCUAGUACGAGAGGACCGGAGUGAACGAACCUCUGGUGUGCCUGUUGUCGCGUCAGCGGCAUUGCAGGGUAGCUAUGUUCGGCAGGGAUAACCGCUGAAAGCAUCUAAGUGGGAAGCCCAUUCCAAGAUCAAUUGUCCCCAUAAUCCCCCUCGAAGAUUACGAGGUAGAUAGGCUACAGGUGUACGCACGGUAACGUGUUCAGCCGAGUAGCACUAACGGGAGAUUGAACAUUUAUAU
rnacentral:rRNA from 1 species